rnacentral:rRNA from 1 species
AGAGUUUGAUCAUGGCUCAGGAUGAACGCUAGCUACAGGCUUAACACAUGCAAGUCGAGGGGCAGCAUGACCUAGCAAUAGGUUGAUGGCGACCGGCGCACGGGUGAGUAACACGUAUCCAACCUGCCGAUUAUUCCGGGAUAGCCUUUCGAAGGAAAGAUUAAUACUGGAUAGCAUAACGAGAAGGCAUCUUCUUGUUAUUAAAGAAUUUCGAUAAUCGAUGGGGAUGCGUUCCAUUAGUUUGUUGGCGGGGUAACGGCCCACCAAGACAUCGAUGGAUAGGGGUUCUGAGAGGAAGGUCCCCCACAUUGGAACUGAGACACGGUCCAAGCUCCUACGGGAGGCAGCAGUGAGGAAUAUUGGUCAAUGGACGAGAGUCUGAACCAGCCAAGUAGCGUGAAGGAUGACUGCCCUAUGGGUUGUAAACUUCUUUUAUAUGGGAAUAAAGUGAGCCACGUGUGGCUUUUUGUAUGUACCAUACGAAUAAGGAUCGGCUAACUCCGUGCCAGCAGCCGCGGUAAUACGGAGGAUCCGAGCGUUAUCCGGAUUUAUUGGGUUUAAAGGGAGCGUAGGCGGAUUAUUAAGUCAGUUGUGAAAGUUUGCGGCUCAACCGUAAAAUUGCAGUUGAUACUGGUAGUCUUGAGUGCAGCAGAGGUAGGCGGAAUUCGUGGUGUAGCGGUGAAAUGCUUAGAUAUCACGAAGAACUCCGAUUGCGAAGGCAGCUUACUGGACUGUAACUGACGCUGAUGCUCGAAAGUGUGGGUAUCAAACAGGAUUAGAUACCCUGGUAGUCCACACAGUAAACGAUGAAUACUCGCUGUUUGCGAUAUACAGCAAGCGGCCAAGCGAAAGCAUUAAGUAUUCCACCUGGGGAGUACGCCGGCAACGGUGAAACUCAAAGGAAUUGACGGGGGUCCGCACAAGCGGAGGAACAUGUGGUUUAAUUCGAUGAUACGCGAGGAACCUUACCCGGGCUUAAAUUGCAACUGACGGAUUUGGAAACAGAUCUUCCUUCGGGCAGUUGUGAAGGUGCUGCAUGGUCGUCGUCAGCUCGUGCCGUGAGGUGUCGGCUUAAGUGCCAUAACGAGCGCAACCCUUAUCUUUAGUUACUAACAGGUCAUGCUGAGGACUCUAGAGAGACUGCCGUCGUAAGAUGUGAGGAAGGUGGGGAUGACGUCAAAUCAGCACGGCCCUUACGUCCGGGGCUACACACGUGUUACAAUGGGGGGUACAGAAGGCAGCUACACAGCGAUGUGAUGCUAAUCCCAAAAGCCUCUCUCAGUUCGGAUUGGAGUCUGCAACCCGACUCCAUGAAGCUGGAUUCGCUAGUAAUCGCGCAUCAGCCACGGCGCGGUGAAUACGUUCCCGGGCCUUGUACACACCGCCCGUCAAGCCAUGAAAGCCGGGGGUACCUGAAGUACGUAACCGCAAGGAGCGUCCUAGGGUAAAACUGGUAAUUGGGGCUAAGUCGUAACAAGGUA